AUGAAGAUAGAAGCUACAGAUCAUGUGCUUACCCUAGAUAAGGCCAUUGAUAAAGAAAAUUUAUUCUACAUAGGAAUGAAGACUGACUCGUCUGCCAAGUACCCUAUAAAUUAUGUCCUGAAAAAAAGUUUCUCUAUCAACAAUACUGAAUCAACACCUGUUCCACAUGCUCCAAAGGUAAGCAACUUCUUAUAG
rnacentral:rRNA from 1 species